ACCAACAAAAAUGCGUAAAAUGGAGAUAAACAUCAACGGAUACAUACACUGUGUGUCGGACAUAAAACUAUCCAAAAAAAAAACACAGAUUCUUCACUGCAAUAACCCAGACCACAAGACAAGACUUCCAUAAAACCAUCAUUUUCAGAGCAGAACACCACCAAAACUUUCUACAAGCAGCACAACAGCAAAAUGGCAUAACUUUAACCAACAUCACAAAAUCACUAAAUCACGCUGGAGGAACACCGUUUGAUAUACUGUACAACACCACCUCAUCACUUCAAGUCACGGACCUCUCAUUUCCCCACAAAACACCCCCACCAGUCACCACAGAAGCAAAAACAAUUGCAGAAAUUAAACAGUUAGAAGCCAAACUCCAAAUCCCAAAACUACAAGGCCAAAUUAUUCACAUGGGUGACACUGAAACGGUCACGGUGUAUGGGCCACAAAAAACAUUGUUAAAAUGCACUUUGGGUGACACAACUGAUUUCAUUUCACUACACAUAUGGGAAUCACAGAUAGCACUAAUCACUCUGCACAAUACAUACACUUUCACUGAUUUGUCAACACGCAAACACAAUGCACAAACAUAUUUAACACUGACAACCACAUCAACCAUUACAGAAACACAUACGAUUGCAAACAUGCCACUACACAUUAUCCCACCAACCACACAGACCGUAGAAGACAAAAUAACCGGCAUACACAUACAAGUUAAAACAUAUUGCCCACACUGCAACACAACACCGACUGAUUUACAUACAACACACAGACACCGCUGCCAAUCAUGUCACUUUCUCUUUCCUUCACAAUCUUACAUAAAAAAAAUACACCGGCAACAUAAUCAUUAACAACAAUACACUUACCAUCACCGACACGGCCAUUCAAAGAUAUUGCACAGAGCACAAAUUCACCCUCACUAACGACACACAGGAUUUAGAAGAGCACCUCUUAGACCUCACCAAAAUCACCAUCACUUUCAAUGCAGACAAACA